AAAUUGGAGGCUAUUGUAACUGAAGAGAACUGGACCGCCCUUAGGAGAAGGAAAUAGUCCAGAAAGUGAAACGAGAAGACCUCUUGUGAUGAUCCAGAGUACCACGAGACACGUGAAACCUUGUGGGCAGCAGGGAGGACCACCUCCUAAGGCUAAAUACUACCUGAUGACCGAUAGUGAAGCAGUACCGUGAGGGAAAGGUGAAAAGAACCCCGGGAGGGGAGUGAAAUAGAACCUGACACCGUGUGCCUACAACCGCUCAGAGCCCCUUAUGAAGGUGAUGAGGUGCUUUUUGAAGAACGAGCCACCGAGUUACGGAAUGUAGCAUGGUUAAGUACUUAAGGUACGGAGCCGACGGGUAACCGAGUCUGAAUAAGGCGACUAGUUGCAUGCCGAAGACCCGAAACCGGGUGACCUAUCCUUGCCCCGGUUGACACGAGGGUAAUCCCUCGUGGAGGACCGAACCACGUUGCUGUUGAAAAACCUUGGGAUGAGCCGUGGAUAGCGGAGAAAUUCCAUUCGUACCCGGAGAUAGCUGGUUCUCCCCGAAAUAGCUUUAGGGCUCAGCUUGAGUAUGAUUCGUGGAAGUAGAGCACUGAAUGCGCUAGGGGGCAUAGCGCUUACUGAACCUUAUUAAACUCCAAAUGCCACUUACUUUGAACUCGGGCGUCUGAGCUCUUAUGAUUAAGAAACGUUGGUCAAAAGGCAAACAGCCGAAAUCGUCGGCUUAAGGUCCCAAAUUGUAAUUUAAAAGGAAAAGGAUUUUAAAAUUUUCUAAAAAACUUUAGAUGUAGGUUUAUAAGCAGCCAUUCAUUUUUAAAGUGGGUUAAUAGCUCA
rnacentral:rRNA from 1 species